GCUCCGAAACGCUAUACCAGGCUUAGUGUAUCCCAUCAUGCUUUGGAAUAAAUUGUCAGACUUUUUGCAGAGAUCUCACGAGGGGUCACGGAAACCUUUCCAAUGUAUGUGAAAUAUUAAUAAUAAUAAUAAUUAGAUAUUGAAAAUAAUUUGGUAGUAAAACAAAGUGUUGCACGGUUUCUUGGUGCACAGAAAAGUAUAUUUAUUUUGUACAUCAUUUGCAAUUGCUUUUUUAUCACUUAAUUAGAAGCACCACAAAUUAAAUUGUCAUCUUUAAUAGGAACUAUUGAAAAGACAUUUAGAAGUUUAUUUUAAAAUGCAAAGUUGAAACUAAAAAAAUAAAAAAAAUCUCUGUAAACACUUAAAUGUGUCCCAUAAGGCAGUGGUUCCCAAUCCUGGUCAUGAAAAGUUCGACACACACUUGUGGUCUUCAUGCUCACUCGAACACUUGGGCCAAAUACAGGAAAUAUGUCAGAUAAGUAAUCAAGUGGUCAAGUGCAAAGAUGGCAAGUGUGGGUAUUUGGACAGUGCAAAAGUUUAAGAAACAACAAAUGCUGUGCAAAUUAUAACAGCAGUUUGAUAAAAAGGUAAAACUAACACAGACUUACUGCUGCAAAUGUGUGCCUCCGCAGCUUUCUGUCUUCUCCAUUUCUGAAGGAAUACCUCUCCACAAACACGACUGGGCUGACUGCUUCCUUCAUGUCUUUUCAGCUAAAAAUAAAUAAAUAAAAAGAAUAAAAAAAGGGGGGACAGAAUUUUUAAAUAUAAAUAUUUAAGAUAUAAACUGAUAUGAAUGAACUGCAAGAUGGGAAAAAAUAUGUGUCCUUUAUUUAUUUACUUUUUUUUAUUUACAUAAAAAGGUAUUAAAACAUGGUGCAGUAAAUGUGAUUACUGUGAUAUCUGUCAUAUAAAAGCACAUCAAAACACUACCAUUACAGUUGUACAACCAUAGUUAGUUUGGUGAUUAUUGUGCUAUUACUAUACCAUAGUAAAACUACAGUUACUGUGGUAAAAACAUGGUAAAUGUCCCGUUCCUGGGUUUUAACUUCAAAUUUCAUUUGUUACUAUUGUACGUGUCGUGGUUACCAUGAUUUUUACUACAAAUACAACUUACAUCUUUGAACCUGAUAUGAAUAUAAAACGGAUCGAAGGUCUAUGGCACGUCACGUGACAGAUAGAGUUUAAUCACUCUAGUUAGCAGCUGUGUUCAUUUAGUUAAACGCAAUGAAACUCAAAGACAGCCUCGGAUGACCGAUAUAAUACAGCGAGUAAACAUACAGCGCUAUUCUGAUUAAUAAAGAAGACGGAAUACAUUUUAUAACAGGCAUUAAAUCAGCGUAUUUACGACUACUCACCCAACCUGUGGCACAUGUAAACUGAUGGCAAAUAUCGCGAUGUGCGCUGAAUGAGACUUCUUGAACGUGAUUUCAUAGCGAUAAACAUCUCAUGCCCUUCGCGUCUGAGUACUGACGCCAAAAGUUUCCCACUUAAAGCAAUGUAGGUCCUAGUGCGUCGAUAUAGCGACGCCGAGGGGCGCCUUUGGCGUCUUCAUAGUGACGCUAGAGGCGUCAGUUUUUGGCGCUUUAGGAGUGAGAAUGGGUUGUAAUAAAACGCUUAAACUGCUUACUUGCACGCGCCUUGGAGCGUUGUUAAACUCACAUUUUAAUGCUUUUACCUGCAGUUGAGCGUUGCU
ensembl:lncRNA